rnacentral:rRNA from 1 species
UGGGGAAUCUUAGACAAUGGGCGCAAGCCUGAUCUAGCCAUGCCGCGUGGGUGAUGAAGGCCUUAGGGUCGUAAAGCCCUUUCGCCGGGGAAGAUAAUGACGGUACCCGGUAAAGAAACCCCGGCUAACUCCGUGCCAGCAGCCGCGGUAAUACGGAGGGGGUUAGCGUUGUUCGGAAUGACUGGGCGUAAAGCGCGCGUAGGCGGAUCAGGAAGUUGGGGGUGAAAUCCCGGGGCUCAACCCCGGAAUGGCCUUCAAAACUCCUGGUCUUGAGUUCGAGAGAGGUGAGUGGAAUUCCGAGUGUAGAGGUGAAAUUCGUAGAUAUUCGGAGGAACACCAGUGGCGAAGGCGGCUCACUGGCUCGACACUGACGCUGAGGUGCGAA